UAGAGAACUGAUCAUCUUCAUGUUCAUUUGCUUGCCUGCACCCAGCUUGACUUCUUCACUCUACACAGUUCAGGACCUCUUGCCUUGGGCAUGGAGCUGUCCACACUGGGCUGAGUCUCCCCACAUCAAAUAACUUACUCUUCCGGAUGCUUCCAAGAUGAUUCUAUGUUCUGUAAAUUAAAGGUAACUAUUACAUCAGUCAAGCUGACUCUGAAAACACACCUAGAGAGCAUUCUGGGAAAUAGCCUAGGAACCAAUUUCACUCUCUUGGUGUCCUUUCCCCCUUUACUCUCAACUGUAAUAACUUAGGGAGCAGCAGGUUUCCCAUUCUGAGCUCCUUGCCUCCCACUCAUCCUCAAUCAGCCUACAAUACUGCUAUCUUCAAAGUGCUAUUCCUCCUUGUGAUGGUAAGCACCCUUGAUUGGUGUUGUAAACUAUGAAACUACACUGAUCAAACAGCAGAUGAGAAAAGGAGGCACAUACCAGCUUCCUGCAUGCAACCUUUCUCAGCUCAUCAAGGCUGGAGUUUCUGAAGGGCUCCAGAAACCCAGAUAUUUCCUUUGAUUGUUGCUGCUAAGAUGAAAGCUAGCACACAGCAAAUUUUGGAUUCAACGCCCACAGUCCCUUCUUCCUUCACUGCAAGGUAAUCAACUGUUUUAAAUAGUCUGAAAGCACUAUUGCCUUGGCUCUUAUGAUAGAUUGCUUCUGUUUAUUGCUCUCUAUUUUUACCUCCAGACCCACAGUUCUUGGAACGAUUGAUAAGGAACGCGUAAGCCAACUGUGGCAAUUCUAAAGAAAAUGAUGGCUCUCUCUGUUUGUCUUGUUAGGAGUUUAAGGCUCAGAAUUGGUUAAGAAGAAUAUGUUAUUCAUCUCUGGGUGGGACCUUUGUCAUCUCAAUCAGAAAAAGGUUUUUUCCACUGUUCUGACCUGCAUGAUUUCUGUAUUUUGAGAAUCCUGUAAGAUUUUGUUCUGUAUGCUAUGGCCACACUCUGAUCUGCAUUUACUCCUAGACCUAAUCAUAUGAAUCCUCACUUUAGUAACUUUUGGGAGACUAAUCUAUGCCCCAGGCCAUGCACACCAGUACUCAGAGAGGAGUGAUUAAAGAGAUAGAUGGACUAGGCCGCUCUGGAUAGUCUCAAUGCCACCCUGGCAAGUAAGCCCAGUGAUUCAGAUGUUCAGGCUGCUUUGAGAUCCACAGAUGUGAACAUUCAGGUAAGCAAGAUGGCUUGGACUGGAAAGGCUAACUUAUUUGCUCUCUCUUCCCAGCUUGUGUUCUUGGCAUUGACCUCAUAUUUGGCAGUAGAGAGUGAACUAAUAAACUUUUACACUGAUGCUUGCUUCUGGGAGUGACAAAAGCUCAUGUUAAUCCCUCUUGUUGGAAAGAGAAAAGGAGCCAAAAAGCCAAAGGCACCCCAUGUUUUCUAAUGGAAGAAACAUGACAUGGGCAGGCAUUAUGCAUUGUGACAGGGUAUGGUCAGCAGGCCUAUUUGCCCUGUGUUGAUGGACUUUUGUUCUUGGAGCAAACCUUUUGGGAAAGAAUUUCC
rnacentral:lncRNA from 1 species